rfam:Pterocles gutturalis contig102793, whole genome shotgun sequence.
ACAAAGGCUCUUUUAAGAGCCACCCACAAACCUCGAGAGAAGAGCU